rnacentral:rRNA from 1 species
UACGGGGGGGGUAAGCGUUGUUCGGAAUUACUGGGCGUAAAGCGUGCGUAGACGGCUAUCUAAGUCGGGUGUGAAAGCCCCGGGCUCAACCUGGGAAUUGCAUUCGAGACUGAAUAGCUAGGGUGCGGUAGAGGGAAGCGGAAUUUCCGGUGUAGCGGUGAAAUGCGUAGAUAUCGGAAGGAACAUCAGUGGCGAAAGCGGCUUCCUGGACCAGCACCGACGUUCAGGCACGAAAGCGUGGGGAGCAAACAGG